rnacentral:rRNA from 1 species
UACGGAGGGUGCGAGCGUUAAUCGGAAUUACUGGGCGUAAAGCGUGCGCAGGCGGUUUUGUAAGCCCGAUGUGAAAUCCCCGGGCUUAACCUGGGAAUGGCAUUUGGGACUGCAAGGCUGGAGUUUGGCAGAGGAGACUGGAAUUCCCGGUGUAGCAGUGAAAUGCGUAGAUAUCGGGAGGAAUACCGAUGGCGAAGGCAGGUCUCUGGGCUAUAACUGACGCUCAUGCACGAAAGCGUGGGGAGCAAACAGG